UACGUAGGGUGCAAGCGUUAAUCGGAAUUACUGGGCGUAAAGCGUGCGCAGGCGGUUGUGUAAGACAGAUGUGAAAUCCCCGGGCUCAACCUGGGAACUGCAUUUGUGACUGCACGGCUGGAGUGGCGGCAGAGGGGGAUGGAAUUCCGCGUGUAGCAGUGAAAUGCGUAGAUAUGCGGAGGAACACCGAUGGCGAAGGCAAUCUCCUGGGCCUGCACUGACGCUCAUGCGACGAAAGCGUGGGGAGCAAACAGG
rnacentral:rRNA from 1 species